AGGGGACACUGAGACAUUUAGGGAAACUGGGAGAAAUGGGGACACAGACACUAGGGACACAGACACUGGGAGACUAGUCUCCCAGUGUCUCGGUGUCCCCAUUUCUCCCAGUGUCCCAAUGUCUCAGUGUGUUCCA
rnacentral:miRNA from 1 species